rnacentral:sRNA from 1 species
UACUUGCUUACGUUAACUGCGCUUGUC